ACAAUGGCCGGUACAAAGGGCUGCGAACCCGCGAGGGGGAGCGAAUCCCAAAAAGCCGGUCUAAGUUCGGAUUGUAGUCUGCAACUCGACUGCAUGAAGGCGGAAUCGCUAGUAAUCGUGGAUCAGCAACGCCACGGUGAAUACGUUCCCGGGCCUUGUACACACCGCCCGUCACGCCAUGGAAGCCGGGAGUGCCCGAAGUCCGUGACCCAACCUUGGGAGGGAGCGGCCGAAGGCAAGCUCGGUGACUGGGGCGAAGUCGUAACAAGGUAGCCGUAGGGGAACCUGCGGCUGGAUCACCUCCUUUCUGGA
rnacentral:rRNA from 1 species